CCUACGGGUGGCAGCAGUGGGGAAUAUUGCACAAUGGGCGCGCGCCUGAACCAGCCAAGUAGCGUGAAGGAUGACUGCCCUACGGGUUGUCAACUUCUUUUAUAAAGGAAUAAAGUGAGGCACGUGUGCCUUUUUGUAUGUCCUUUAUGGAUAAGGAUCGGCUAACACCGUGCCAGCAGCCGCGGUAAUACGGCGGAUCAGAGGGUUAUCCGGAUUUAUUGGGUUUAAAGGGAGCGUAGAUGGCUUGUUAAGUCCGUUGUGAAAGUUUGCGGCUCAACCGUAAAAUUGCAAUUGAUACUGGCAGUCUUGAGUACAGUUGAGGUAGGCGGAAUUCGUGGUGUAGCGGUGAAAUGCUUAGAUAUCACGAAGAACUCCGAUUGCGAAGGCAGCUUACUAAACUGCCACUGACAUUGAUGCUCGAAAGUGUGGGUAUCAAACAGGAUUAGAUACCCCUGUAGUC
rnacentral:rRNA from 1 species